rnacentral:rRNA from 3 species
AGUGCAUGUGGUGGAUGCCUUGGCGAUUACAGGCGAUGAAGGACGCGGUAGCCUGCGAAAAGCUUCGGGGAGCUGGCAAACGAGCUUUGAUCCGGAGAUGUCCGAAUGGGGAAACCCGGCCCGAAUGGGUCAUCCCUGACUGAAUACAUAGGUCAGGGAAGCGAACGCGGCGAACUGAAACAUCUAAGUAGCUGCAGGAACAGAAAUCAACCGAGAUUCCCAAAGUAGUGGCGAACGAAAUGGGAAGAGCCUUGUACUCUUUAGCAGCAUUGUUAGCAGAACGGGAUGGAAAGCCCGGCCAUAGCAGGUGAUAGCCCUGUAUGCGAAAACAGCGUUGUGGAACUAGGUGUACGACAAGUAGGGCGGGACACGUGAAAUCCUGUCUGAAGAUGGGGGGACCAUCCUCCAAGGCUAAAUACUCGUAAUCGACCGAUAGUGAACCAGUACCGUGAGGGAAAGGCGAAAAGAACCCCGGGAGGGGAGUGAAAUAGAUCCUGAAACCGCAUGCAUACAAACAGUCGGAGCCUGGAAACGGGUGACGGCGUACCUUUUGUAUAAUGGGUCAGCGACUUACAUUCAGUGGCAAGCUUAACCGAUUAGGGAAGGCGUAGCGAAAGCGAGUCCGAAUAGGGCGUUGAGUCGCUGGGUGUAGACCCGAAACCAGAUGAUCUAUCCAUGGCCAGGUUGAAGGUGCGGUAACACGUACUGGAGGACCGAACCCACUAACGUUGAAAAGUUAGGGGAUGAGCUGUGGAUAGGGGUGAAAGGCUAAACAAAUCUGGAAAUAGCUGGUUCUCUCCGAAAACUAUUUAGGUAGUGCCUCGUGUCUCACCUUCGGGGGUAGAGCACUGUCAUGGUUGGGGGGUCUAUUGCUGAUUACCCCGCCAUAGCAAACUCCGAAUACCGAAGAGUGCAAUCACGGGAGACAGACAUCGGGUGCUAACGUCCGGUGUCAAGAGGGAAACAACCCAGACCGCCAGCUAAGGUCCCAAAGAUUGGCUAAGUGGGAAACGAAGUGGGAAGGCUAAAACAGUCAGGAGGUUGGCUUAGAAGCAGCCACCCUUUAAAGAAAGCGUAAUAGCUCACUGAUCGAGUCGUCCUGCGCGGAAGAUGUAACGGGGCUAAGCCAGUCACCGAAGCUGCGGACGCACGCAAGUGCGUGGUAGGAGAGCGUUCUGUAAGCCUGUGAAGGUGUCUUGUAAAGGAUGCUGGAGGUAUCAGAAGUGCGAAUGCUGACAUGAGUAGCGAUAAAGGGGGUGAAAGGCCCCCUCGCCGUAAGCCCAAGGUUUCCUACGCAACGUUCAUCGGCGUAGGGUGAGUCGGCCCCUAAGGCGAGGCAGAGAUGCGUAGCUGAUGGGAAGCAGGUUAAUAUUCCUGCACCGUCGUAUGAUGCGAUGGGGGGACGGAUCGCGGAAGGUUGUCCGGGUGUUGGAAGUCCCGGUCCCUGCAUUGGAGAAGGCGCUUAGGCAAAUCCGGGCGCGGAAUUCAAGGAUGUGGGGCGAGCGGCCUAGUGCUGCGAAGCAAUUGGAAGUGGUUCCAAGAAAAGCCUCUAAGCUUCAGUCAUACGAGACCGUACCGCAAACCGACACAGGUGGGCGAGAUGAGUAUUCUAAGGCGCUUGAGAGAACUCGGGAGAAGGAACUCGGCAAAUUGGUACCGUAACUUCGGGAUAAGGUACGCCCUUGUAGCUUGACUGGCCUGCGCCAGGAGGGUGAAGGGGUUGCAAUAAAAUGGUGGCUGCGACUGUUUAAUAAAAACACAGCACUCUGCAAACACGAAAGUGGACGUAUAGGGUGUGACGCCUGCCCGGUGCCGGAAGAUUAAAUGAUGGGGUGCAAGCUCUUGAUUGAAGUCCCGGUAAACGGCGGCCGUAACUAUAACGGUCCUAAGGUAGCGAAAUUCCUUGUCGGGUAAGUUCCGACCUGCACGAAUGGCGUAACGAUGGCCACACUGUCUCCUCCCGAGACUCAGCGAAGUUGAAGUGUUUGUGAUGAUGCAAUCUCCCCGCGGCUAGACGGAAAGACCCCAUGAACCUUUACUGUAGCUUUGCAUUGGACUUUGAACCGAUCUGUGUAGGAUAGGUGGGAGGCUUUGAAGCGUGGACGCUAGUUCACGUGGAGCCGUCCUUGAAAUACCACCCUGGUUUGUUUGAGGUUCUAACCUUGGCCCGUGAAUCCGGGUCGGGGACAGUGCAUGGUAGGCAGUUUGACUGGGGCGGUCUCCUCCCAAAGUGUAACGGAGGAGUUCGAAGGUACGCUUGGUACGGUCGGACAUCGUACCUAAAGUGCAAUGGCAAAAGCGUGCUUAACUGCGAGACCGACAAGUCGAGCAGGUGCGAAAGCAGGACAUAGUGAUCCGGUGGUUCUGAAUGGAAGGGCCAUCGCUCAACGGAUAAAAGGUACUCUGGGGAUAACAGGCUGAUACCGCCCAAGAGUUCAUAUCGACGGCGGUGUUUGGCACCUCGAUGUCGGCUCAUCUCAUCCUGGGGCUGUAGCCGGUCCCAAGGGUAUGGCUGUUCGCCAUUUAAAGAGGUACGUGAGCUGGGUUUAAAACGUCGUGAGACAGUUUGGUCCCUAUCUGCCGUGGGCGUUGGAAUCUUGACGGGGGCUGCUCCUAGUACGAGAGGACCGGAGUGGACGUACCGCUGGUGUACCUGUUGUCUCGCCAGAGGCAUCGCAGGGUAGCUAUGUACGGAAGAGAUAACCGCUGAAAGCAUCUAAGCGGGAAACUCGCCUGAAGAUGAGGAUUCCCUGGAGGCUUGACCUCCUUGAAGGGUCGUUCGAGACCAGGACGUUGAUAGGCUGGGUGUGGAAGCGCAGUAAUGCGUUAAGCUAACCAGUACUAAUUGCCCGUAAGGCUUGAUC